rnacentral:rRNA from 1 species
AACGAACGCUGGCGGCGUGCCUAACACAUGCAAGUCGCGCGAGAACGGGGGGCAACUCCCUAGUAAAGCGGCGCACGGGUGAGUAACACGUAGGUAACCUACCCUCGAGUCCAGGAUAACCUAUCGAAAGGUGGGCUAAUACCGGAUAUGACCACGGGAGCCUCGGCUCCUGCGGUGAAAGGUGGCCUCUGCUUGCAAGCCACUGCUCGGAGAUGGGCCUGCGCGCCAUUAGCUAGUUGGUGGGGUAACGGCCCACCAAGGCGAUGAUGGCUAGCUGGUCUGAGAGGAUGGCCAGCCACACUGGGACUGAAACACGGCCCAGACUCCUACGGGAGGCAGCAGUGGGGGAUAUUGCGCAAUGGGCGAAAGCCUGACGCAGCGACGCCGCGUGGGUGAUGAAGGCCU